UACGUAGGGGGCGAGCGUUGUCCGGAGUUAUUGGGCGUAAAGAGCUCGUAGGCGGUUUGUCGCGUCUGCUGUGAAAACUGGAGGCUCAACCUCCAGCCUGCAGUGGGUACGGGCAAACUAGAGUGCGGUAGGGGAGAUUGGAAUUCCUGGUGUAGCGGGUGGAAUGCGCAGAUAUCAGGAGGAACACCGAUGGCGAAGGCAGAUCUCUGGGCCGUAACUGACGCUGAGGAGCGAAAGCAUGGGGAGCGAACAGG
rnacentral:rRNA from 1 species